rnacentral:misc_RNA from 1 species
GAUGAAGAACGUAGCGAAAUGCGAUAAGUAAUGUGAAUUGCAGAAUACAGUGAAUCAUCGAAUCUUUGAACGCACAUUGCGCCCGCCAGUAUUCUGGCGGGCAUGCCUGUUCGAGCGUCAUUACAACCCUCAGGCCCCCGGGCCUGGCGUUGGGGAUCGGCGGAAGCCCCCUGCGGGCACAACGCCGUCCCCCAAAUACAGUGGCGGUCCCGCCGCAGCUUCCAUUGCGUAGUAGCUAACACCUCGCAACUGGAGAGCGGCGCGGCCACGCCGUAAAACACCCAACUUCUGAAUGUUGACCUCGAAUCAGGUAGGAAUACCCGCUGAACUUAAGCAUAUCAAUAAGCGGAGGA